rnacentral:tRNA from 1 species
AAACAGGUAGUUUAAGUAAAAUAUUUGGUUUCGGCCCAAAAGAUAAUUAUUAUCAUUCUUGUUUU